AUUGUUUUGUUGUAGUUCAUAAUCAUGCUGAUUGGGUAUUUGUGCCUUUGCAUCGCAUGUGCUUCCCACGAACCUUGAUACUUACAACCUUGGAAAAUUCGUCUGAUG